GGGAGGCCGGGAGGGGUCCCUGGGCGGGGAGUUGCUGCGCAUCUGUUGUGUGUGUGCGUCUGUCUGUCUGUUCAGGUCUGUUUCAGACUACGUCUGCCUGUCUGUCCAGGUCUGUUUUAGGCUGUGUCUGUCUGUCUGUCUGGGUCUGUUUCAGGCUGUGUCUGUCUGUCUGUCCGGGUCUGUUUCAGGCUGUGUCUGGGUCUGUUUCAGGCUGUCUGUCUGUCUGUCUGGGUCUGUUUCAGGCUGUGUCUGUCUGUCUGUUUGUCUGGGUCUGUUUCAGGCUGUGUCUGUCUGUCCGGGUCUGUUUCAGGCUGUAUGUGUGUCUGCUCUUUGCUUCUGCUCCUGGCUCUGUGUCUCAAAGCUGUCGAUGGGGUCCAUGGAGCAGGCAGCAG
rnacentral:lncRNA from 1 species